UACGUAGGGUGCGAGCGUUAAUCGGAAUUAUUGGGCGUAAAGAGCUCGUAGGCGGUUUGUCGCGUCUGCUGUGAAAACUGGAGGCUCAACCUCCAGCCUGCAGUGGGUACGGGCAGACUAGAGUGCGGUAGGGGAGAUUGGAAUUCCUGGUGUAGCGGUGGAAUGCGCAGAUAUCAGGAGGAACACCAAUGGCGAAGGCAGAUCUCUGGGCCGUAACUGACGCUGAGGAGCGAAAGCAUGGGGAGCGAACAGG
rnacentral:rRNA from 1 species